CGGGUAGUGGUCUAUAUAAAAAUAUGAGGUUGCAAACCUCAAGAAGGGAGUUCACCUCCUCUACCCGU
rnacentral:tRNA from 1 species